rnacentral:rRNA from 1 species
AGGACGAACGCUGGCGGCGUGCUUAACACAUGCAAGUGGAGCGACGAACCAGGGCUUGCCCUGGGGCAGAGCCGCGAACGGGUGAGUAACACGUGGGUUACCUGCCUCGAUGACCGGGACAACCCGAGGAAACUCGGGCUAAUACCGGAUGUGCCCGCAAGGGGAAAGGAAGCUUCGGCCUCCGCAUCGAGAUGGGCCCGCGGCCCAUUAGCUUGUUGGUGAGGUAACGGCUCACCAAGGCUUCGAUGGGUAGCUGGUCUGAGAGGACGAUCAGCCACACUGGGACUGAGACACGGCCCAGACUCCUACGGGAGGCAGCAGUGGGGAAUCUUGCGCAAUGCGCGAAAGCGUGACGCAGCAACGCCGCGUGGGGGAAGAAGGCUUUCGGGUUGUAAACCCCUUUCAGUUUGGGACGAAGCUUCUCCGGUGAAUAGCCGGAUGGAGUGACGGUACCUUCACAAGAAGCACCGGCUAACUACGUGCCAGCAGCCGCGGU